UGCUUCUUCCUUCAGUCUUCUUUUUGCGGUCGGACUGUGAACACGAUCGGGCGAGUCAUUCUCGCUUUGCGUUUGCACCCGCGUCAAAGUCCAAUUUGUGUCGUCGGAAGAGGAAGACGCAAAAUUGAUUUGCGGCGGCGAUGCUAUUGAUGGUAGUAUAGAGGACUACCAUGGUUGCAACGGGUAACGGGGAAUCAGGGUUCGAUUCCGGAGAGGGAGCCUGAGAAAUGGCUACCACAUCCAAGGAAGGCAGCAGGCGCGUAAAUUACCCAAUCCCGGCACGGGGAGGUAGUGACGAGAAAUAACAAUAUAAGACUCUUUUAUGACGUCUUAUAAUUGGAAUGAGUUGAGCAUAAAUCCUUCAACAAGGAUCAAGUGGAGGGCAAGUCUGGUGCCAGCAGCCGCGGUAAUUCCAGCUCCACUAGCG
rfam:Aedes aegypti strain Liverpool supercont1.83 genomic scaffold, whole genome shotgun sequence.